UUGUAAAUCCUAGUGAAAUCACCCACUUCACAAUCACACAAAACUGUGAUUCUUUCAAACACAUAGCUGAGUCAAAGCAGCCACAUAAAAGAGUGUGUAGGUAUAAUUCUGUUUACAUAAAGUCCCCAAAGAGGCAAAGGAAAUCUCUGUUGGAAAUCAGGGUGAUGGUUUUCCCUGGAAUUUGAGGGGACAGGCAGUGAAACUAGAGAGAGGAGGAGGAGGUUCUGGGGGACUGGUCCCUGGGUAUGUGUUCAUUUUUGAGAUGCACUUAAUUAUAUGUGCGCUUUUCUAUAUUUAAAUUAACUUUAAUAAAACAACUUAAAAAUAUAUAGUCACUAAAUGCUACCCCCAGAGAUUCUGAUAUAACUGUUUGGAAACAGGACUCAAGCAUCUCUUUUUUUUUUUCCCCUAUAAAGACUUGCAGGUGAUUUUUUAGUUGUAGAUGGUCAUAAUACCUUUAUUUUAUUUAUUUAUUUUUAUGCUGUGUUGAGGAUCGACCCCAUUGCCUCACAUGUGCUAGGCAAGUGCUCUACCACUGAGCUACAACCCCAGGCCCUUUGCUGGUGAUUCUACUGUGAAUCUAGCCAGCUCCACAUUAGUGCUAACAGGAGAGUGGGUGGCUUUUCUCUGUGAGGAAGGAGGUGAGCUGUGUGUGCUGAGUGGGAGGUAAGGAAGGAAUGAGGGGACCUGGGGAGCAUUUAGACCACCCUAGAGGGAGGAACCCCAAAUCUAGGCAGCUGAACCUCAGCUUUCGAAGCUCUAUUCUUGUGUCUGGAUGGCUGCUUCCAUUGUUUGUGGGUUUGUAAUCUCAGGGGUCGG
rnacentral:lncRNA from 1 species